CGAAACACCGACGGGCAACGCCGCCUCUUCGACGUCCUUCGCGUCGGCCAGAACACCGCCGCCGUCGCCCUCGCCAUCAAUCUGCUGCCUCGGUUCCAUCGUCGGAGAAGCCCCGCCGCUAACGCCACGUGCCGCCGGAGCAGAACACCGUCGCCGGAACUCUCCACGUCGCUUCAUCCCCAACUAACCACAGGGUAA
rnacentral:lncRNA from 1 species